UUCAUAUUAGGAUGUGCAACUACAUGUGGACGGGCAUGGCUCCAACUUGAAAAGCAGAACUGCCGAGAUGCUCACAAGGUUGGCAUGACCAAGACAGACACUCAGACCCUUUCAGAAAUUAAUCCUGAUGUUGUGCUUGAGCCAAGAAAUCAAGUGCAUGAAGAUUCAAGUACUAGAAAUCAAGUAAUGCUAGCAAUGAUCUGCAGAUUUUCAAUGCUGAGAACUUACAGAGAAACAGUAAAAUCUACUAUAGGUUCGUUU